rnacentral:tRNA from 1 species
AUAGGGUUAGUUAACAUAUAAUAUAUACUUGUCGUGUAUAAGUGGUUUAGAUUUAAACACUCUAUU